rnacentral:rRNA from 1 species
UCUCAAAUCAGGUAGGACUACCCGCUGAACUU